rnacentral:tRNA from 1 species
UUAAUUGAAACCAAAAAGAGGUAUAUUACUGUUAAUGAUAUCAAUGAAUAAAUUUUUAUUCCAAUUAAA